GAAGCUGGCCAGACAGUCGCUGCCCGCAAGGGGAGAGGAAAGUCCGGGCUCCGUAGAGCGGGAUGCCGGUUAACUGCCGGAGGCCGCGAGGCCAUGGAAAGUGCCACAGAGAACGAACCGCCGAUGGUCCGCAAGGACACAGGCAAGGGUGAAAAGGUGCGGUAAGAGCGCACCGCGUUUGCGGUAACGCAGACGGCAUGGUAAACCCCAUCCGGAGCAAGACCAAAUAGGGGAACGUUAGCGUGGCUCGCGCUGUUCCCGGGUGGGUUGCUUGAGCCCGCGGGUAACCUCGGGCCUAGAGGAAUGACUGUCCAAGACAGAACCCGGCUUACCGGCCAGCUUCUUUU
rnacentral:RNase_P_RNA from 1 species